AUACGGAGGGUGCAAGCGUUAUUCGGAAUCACUGGGCGUAAAGGACGCGUAGGCGGGGUGGAAAGUCAGGUGUGAAAGCCUACAGCUUAACUGUAGAACUGCACUUGAAACUCUCACCCUAGAGUAUGGGAGGGGCAGAUGGAAUUAGUGGUGUAGGGGUAAAAUCCGUAGAUAUCACUAGGAAUACCGAAAGCGAAGGCGAUCUGCUGGAACAUAACUGACGCUAAGGCGUGAAAGCGUGGGGAGCAAACAGGAUUAGAUACCCCAGUAGUCC
rnacentral:rRNA from 1 species